rnacentral:lncRNA from 1 species
GGACUUCCCUCUUGACCUGUUUGUUGUUACAUGAAAAAAUUGUUAUGUUAUGACAGAGAUAAGAAGUAAAUAUUAAAAUUGAGAAGUAUAUAGUAGGAGUNUUUACCGGGGGGUCAGAUACAUCACCAACCAAAUGUCUAGGCGAGGCGAUGAAGGACUUAAGUGCCUCUUCCACAGUCAUAAACUCGUCUGUAGGCAGAGGAAGAACGGCCUUUGGAUCGACAA